rnacentral:misc_RNA from 1 species
UUUUAGAGAUUAAAGGUUUAACGAAUUUGAACUGCGUUCAUCGUUUAUCAUAUCAGUAAUUUUUAGCUCGAAUUUAGUGCAACUCUUGGCAUAUUCGUAUUAUUCAAUAAGUUGGCUGCUCAAAGAGACUAAAUCUUUGUCUCUGUCAAUUUUCCCUCUGUUCUAAUCAACCAAACAGAGCUUGAAUGGGUGCUUGUGAGUUGUGAGUGGAUUGUAGUUUAGAUCUAGAGAAAAUGUAGAACUAGAAGCAUCAUGUUAGAUAACCUAAUUGUAGACAGACCUUCUGGUCUGUUAAAUAUAAUAUGCUAAAAGGAGCGACACAUCGCAUUUGCUCUGUGUUGGACUUCCG